AAGGUUUCUUCCUCUUGACCGAAUCUGUAACCUUCAUUAGCAGACUCGUUUUCAGUGGUUUCCCUGAUCAAACUAGAAGUUGUGUUCAACCUAAAUUUCAUAAAAUAAUUAAGAGUAAAGUUAAUUUGAGAUUCAAUUUAUAAACGUGGGAUCUGAUGGUUCUAAAUCACAAUGACUAAAGACUAUCACUUCUCCCUAUCGAAAGUGGAUUAAAUUAUAUCCAGACAAUUUGAACUCCAUUGACAUUGUAAGGAGUUUUAGUAGUCAUGGAGCACCCAUGCUAGGAUUAGAACCCAUUGUAGAAGUAUCUCCUACAGAAGAUGAAAGAAUUUCUCCUUCAUUUGAAAUAUCAAUAAAUUGGUUGAAUUCAUCAUAUUUGAUAUUCUGUCAAUAGAUCUUUGCUGAGAGAAGGAUGGUUCAAGAACCAUAAUCUUUGGAAGAAAUUUUAAGAAAGAUAACGAUAGGAAACGAAAGGAAUCCGACCCACUAUGUGGCAAGAUAAUGCAAGGAGGUAUGGAGAGAGAGAUUCUCUUAUUCGUUGUUAAAAGACUCUUUACAAAUGACAUGGGGACAGGUAUUUAUACCAGACCCUCAAAAAGUUCUAGACAUAUAACUCAAUUAUUACAAAAGACUUGAUAAUAAAAACUAGAAACAUCUCAACAACAGCUAUCAUAAUCAUCUUUACGUUGUCCAUCAUCAAGACAUAUGGCAAAGUUUUAAUUGAAGACUAAGUCAGUUCAGCAGCGAACCAGGGCAUCUCACUCUGCACCAAUGACAAAUAUCACAAGAAGCUCUGUCAAAGAACUACAAUUUAUUUACAAAAAAAACCUUAAAAAUAGAAGAUAUAUCAAAUAAAAUCCCAAAAUUUUCAAUAUACACGAGAACCUGUAUUAGCUUCUCAGAGAAUUAAACAGGCCACACCACAUGGGAACGGGUAGAGGGCCAAAUGGAAGGGUGUACUGUGAAGGUCAGGAGACGUGCAAAGGGGCCUCAGGAACAGUAUCAAGAACAAAAGGCCCCAGUUUGCCGGUUCUGAACAAAGUUAUCAACUUCUUUGAGACCAUGGUGCGAGCUUCUUCCACAGAUUUUGUCGAUAUCUUAAAGGUCUCCUGGAGGACUGUCAGCUGUUCGUCAAUGAGGCACUCCAGCUCGUUCUCCCCGGUUAAAUUCCCCUCAAAUGAAACGAAUGUGGCGUACAGUGUCCGUUGAACAUCCUUUACGACGUCCUGCAUCCACCAAGUGUGAAAAGGUGACGGAACUGUGAGCUAACAAAACCACGGAACUAAUUUAUAUAGAAAAAUUUUAGAAGUAAUUGUUUGAAAGAUGUGGUAAAUAGUCUUUCAAGGGAUAUGUCAUAGAACCCCACCCACCCCCACCCCCCACCCUUCAAAUUGGGGAUGCAGAACAGCUGUUGAUAAAAUAUCACUGGUUUGCUACACCAAAGUUUGGAUGGCAGCUCCUGAGUUAAAAUUACCAAGAGAUCAAGCCGGGUUCCAGAUGAUUGAGAGUGAAGGCAUAAUAAAGAGAUAGGUGGAAUUGGGAGGAAAAUCAAAGGAGGCAUUGGGGAAGAUUGAAACAAAACGCCAGAGAUGGAACCAAGGCAGCAGCAGUACUUUUAUGGUGAGGAGAUAGUUGAGAACAACAUCAAAAAUUACACACAUUUGUAGAGAAAAGUUUAGAACAACCGAUAAUAGAAAUUGGGAAAAAUUGAGCACAGAAAGAAUAGGGUGGAAGGCAGUUGAGAGAGAAGGAAAGAAAAAGUUUUAAGAAAGCGUGUAAAAUAGAAUAUAAAUAAAUGGAAAGAACUGAGAAAGAAACGAAUCAUCAGGAAAGAUAAGAGAGAAUAAGAUGGAUGAUCAUGAAGAUAGAGAGAGUGAGAAGAGAAAAAGAUGAAAGAAUGGGAAAGAAUGCAAAGAAAAGAUGCACAGAUGCACAGCCAAAAAAGAGGACAGAGAGACAAAAAAAGGGUUGUAAGAGCAACCACGAGGUGAGAAACACUCAGACAGUGGAUAAUAACGAAGAAAAGAAGAAUUAGAGCUGACAAAAAAAGGAUGGAGUAGGGAAUAUACCUUAUGGAAAGUAAAGACAUUUUUCCUCAUACAUAAGCCUUGUAGUUAUAUGGAAAGAAUCUAAAUAUAUUACCUCAAUAUACCACACGUCAGAAUGAUCCAAUUGUUGCCCCGUCCGUCGUAAAGAAGCUUUAAAUAUUUUUUUGUUUCUUGUUAUUGCCUCAGAUAGAGAUCCACUCCGCUCAUUGUUCAAGUUCUUCCAAUGAAGAGGUGUGUUCCGAUUGUUCAAGACUGAAAGAAAGUACCUUGCAAGGCGCUCCUCACCAACAACUGAAUCUUUCACAGCUCCUAGGUCACAAGAAAGCUUUCAAAGAUAGUUCUGAAUAUAAACACCACUCUAGGACCACCGAAAAGGAGAAAUUAAGGUAGAUUAAACAGAAAAUAAAGUACCCAUCUCGAGAAAACAAAGGACUUAUAGCGUCAGAAAAAGUCAUGCCAUUGCCUCUUAACAUGAACAGAAUUAUAUUUUCUCAAUUUUAGCAAGAAAGGCGCUACAAUGAAGAAUUAUCUUCUUAUUAAAUCAAGGCUAUAAAAUAAAUCAUCAGCGUUCAACUUAUUUACAUAGACCAAGUGAUAGAGUAAGUGCCCCAAGUCGAGGACAUUUCAGACAUCCUCAUUCGGGCACAAUGUUAGGUCUUCCUGUAAUGUUUUGGUUAACAAUUUCUGAGCCAACUUUUGGGCAAGAAAGCAAACAAGUAGAAGAGGAACCUGUCAAGGCAAGCUUCAGUCCCGUCUCUAUGUCUGCAAUGCUAGGAACCAGAACACCAGGUGUGUCCAAAACGUAUAUGCUAGGCUGAUUUGCAAUCUGUGGAAGACGUCAUCAAUUGCUGAAUAAAAUUUUUUGAAGGGAAAUCGUGCUAUUUUCCAAUCACUGGGUCAUGAAAUACCUACUAUCAUAAAUAAAUGAAUGGCAUGUCCUGACAAAUGACACAGGUGUGUUUUCUUCAUAAUAUACAGAAACAAUGAAGAAAAAUAAAUAAUAUAAUAAUAUACAUAACUAUAAUACAUGUCAUUGAAGUUUUCACAUCAAUAACAAUAAAAUAUUAUUAUCUAUAAAUAGUUUCCUAGUUAACAUUAUCUAAAAUACUUAUGAACAAAAGUUUACAUCCAACUACCAUGAUGGUCAGCAAGCCGCUAAUCAGUGCAUUAGCCAUUUUCAGGCAAACCGUGGAUGAAGAACACCAUGAACACACGAUUAUCUCACGAGAUUAGUAUAUUAUAUGCAUUUGCACGCAAUUGUUAUCAUCUCAUUAGAACAAGCUUUUAUUCGAUACACAUUCAAAUAAGGACUGCGUCUCUGAUUUCUGAGCAAUCGGGUAUUUGGUCCUCCAAACUAAAUAAAUACUACGCAGCAUGAAAUAGAUUGGCUCAUUCGGUGAUGUAUUAGAUUAAGUUUGCAAAAGCCAAUCUGAAUCAAUUUUCUGAUAAGGGUAACUGCAGAUGAGGCUUAAAUACCAUGAGAUGGUUAUGGUUUCUUAAAACUGCCUCCCCAUAUAGAACAGAGAUCAACAGAAAGGUUCAGAGAUGUCAUAGGUUCAACAGAAAACUAUUGACGCCAUAGUUUGUAAAAACCCAAGCAUGGUACAGCGAAUUAACCAGAGCAGCAACAGAGAGCUUAUAUUUAGAAGGAUGCACCUGCAUAAAUCGAGAACCAGGACAUGUCGAACAACUCAAAGGUUGGCAUAAACCUAGACGGAAGCGAUGCUCUAACAUAGAAAGUAAGAAAGGAAAGAAAUACUGUGAGCUUGUAUUAGCAGGAUGCAACUUCUUCCUCAGAAACUUUGAAAGGAUAGCAGCAUGAGCAUUUGGCAGCUGCUUCAUUUGAAGUNNNNNNNNNNNNNNNNNNNNNNNNNNNNNNNNNNNNNNNNNNNNNNNNNNNNNNNNNNNNNNNNNNNNNNNNNNNNNNNNNNNNNNNNNNNNNNNNNNNNNNNNNNNNNNNNNNNNNNNNNNNNNNNNNNNNNNNNNNNNNNNNNNNNNNNNNNNNNNNNNNNNNNNNNNNNNNNNNNNNNNNNNNNNNNNNNNNNNNNNNNNNNNNNNNNNNNNNNNNNNNNNNNNNNNNNNNNNNNNNNNNNNNUUCUAUCAAUCCUUAGAAUUUAAUGUGGAGUUUGACAUUGCCUCCAUUAGAUGCGAUUGAAUAGCAUAUCAACUGACCAAAUUACGAGGAACUUCAUUUAAAUCUCAGUUUCUAUCAACGAAAAUCAUUAGAGGUCAUAGAUUCUAGAGAGUUGCACUGGUGCUUCUGCCAACAUGGUGAAUGAACAAUUAACAUGUAGGAUACAACAACUAUAACCGCCAUAAAAAACAUAAUGAAAACUAAAGCCAAAAAUAGCAAUAACAUUCAAAUUAGAUGUAUUCGACAAGAAAAAAAAUUGAAAACAUAAAAAAUUUGAUGAGAAUACUAAAUUUCUCAAAACAGGAAAUAUGCAUAAUUUUGACCUUAUAUCCUGCAAUAUCCUGGGUGACACCAGGCAAAGGUCCAACGGUUGCUCGCUUCAUUCUAUCCUGCACUGUGACAAAAAAUCAUUUCGAUGGGAAAAGAUGUCCCAUUCAAUUGUCAGAAGAAUAAACGGCCAACAUUGAAAACUUGAUUAUAGUUAAAAGGAAAUCUUAAGAAAAAGUGGAACCAGUUACCAGGAAAGCGAGAAGAUGCAAUCUGAUGAAUGGAAUUAAUAAGUGCAGACUUCCCAACGUUUGGAAUACCAACCACCAUGACCAAAAGUGUCGGUUCUCUGGAGAUAACUUCCUUCAGUUUCAGUUCCACGAGUGUAAGCAGCUGUUCAUUCCGAACACGAAAAUCAACAGGAUAAUUAUGGAAGAAACGAGUAGAACUGAUUAGACAAAAAAAGUGACAGACAGAACAAGAGUCCUAGACAAAACUACAAUACUAACGCCAGAAAUAAUAGACAGGGUGACUCAAAGCUAGAAUUGAGCGGGACAUUGCACAAUAGGGAGAAUACUUUUUGAGCAUGUCAUAAUAAAACGGAUGAAAAAAAAUAUUGAUAAUAGAAACAUCCAAAACGCAUGUAACAGCAAUUACAGUGGCACAUUCACGAAAAAUAAUUGAUAAGUGGAUCAUGUGCAAAAUGAAGCUGCCUGUUAAUAAGGGAAAUUCUAAACAUCAGAACAAGCUCAGUAUGAAAAACUUGUGACAAUUGGUUCGUCUAGACUUGCUUCUUGAUUGUUUUCUUUACCGACUAAGUCCCUGCUCUUCUGUCGUUGGCUCACCUAGAACAUUACCCAGAUAAGGUUCUCAGCCCUCUCACAAGCACAGACAUAUAUAUAUGCAUAGACAUGAUUGAAGAACUGUCUAUUUCAAAAGUUUCAUUAUUCCUUCAUAUCAGCAUGACUAGAGAAGUAUUCAGAUUUCAGUUAAACAAAACAUAUCACAGGUUAAAAUAUUUCCGAAAAGUCAUGGACAAGAAAAAAUUUGAGUACACCUUUAAGACAUGAAAAUCAAGGUUAUCAAGUUUGUUAAUAACAAUAUUAACAUAAAACAGAGAGAAAAAUGAGAUGAACGUCGAGUCUGUCGAUCAUUAGUAGAUGGCACAUUAUUCAUUCAAGGUGACAACAGUCAACUGUGGAAUGUCAUAUCCACAAAGGUUGAGAACAAAACAUUGCAGCUUUGAGCCUAGGGAUUCAUGUGGAGCUAAUAAGCAGGAUUUUGGGGUUUUAAUUUCUAACCUUGGAAAUUUAGAUAAAAUAUUAAAAAGUCUCCAAGAUUUGGCUAUUUUACAGAUCUUUCGGAUAUAAUUAUAACGAUCUAAAAGGGAUAUUUCCAAGCAUGAAGAUCUUUCGGCUGAUACAAAGCUGUAGUGAUACUACAUCUAAUGCUCACGUUAAUUUUUACUCCUAGGAAUCUCUAGGUCACUACAGUUGGCAUGAGAUACCGUCAUCCAGAAGGUCACAACUUCGCAUGAUACCCAAGGAGGUCAAGAAAGUAGACUAGCUUUUUGCAGUUAUGAAUGAAUAUCGUUUUGAACCACUGUGCAAGAUAUUGUGCAACCGUAUCAGCCAUCAGAAAGACUUCCAAGGCCAAUAGGGUUGACCAAUAAAGCCAUAGUAUCAGCUGCAACAGAAGCUGGAUAUCCACCAUCAAUCCAACGACACAAGCCAAAAUGGAAGAUCUGAACAUUAGAAGUACACUUACUGGUAGAUAGAUUACAACUGUUAGCAUGGAAAAUGAUCUUUAUAGUUUGCAUGAAGCUCACAACUCUCCUGACGUUCUGUAAAUAGAGCGUUCGAACUGAUGCAGGAUGGAUGCAAGGAGUGCUGACACCUCAUGAUCGCGCAAGACCUAAAUCAUGCUCACUCAUGAAUCAUGAAGAAGAUAAAUAAAGGGAGUCAGCUUUGAUAUGAGAGAUUCAGCUCCCAUUAUCCAUCAAAAUUUGUAUUCUGAACAUUUUCACUGAGUAACACGCCAACAUGUUAUUAUAAUUGCUCUUUUUAACGGAAAAUUGUUCCCAACAAGUUAAUCUUGUAUCUUCCAAAUCCCCCCUUAAGGCGCUGGAUUGCUAGUUAUUUGAUGGAGCACGAGUGAUCUUGGAGAGGAGUGUGACAGUAAGGGAGAACGGGAAGAAAAGCAUACAGCUCACACCGGCACCUGUCCAAGGAGUCAAUUUUCUUCACAUUAUUUUCUUCCUUUCUCUUCUCCUGUUCUCUUUCCUCUUCGACAGCUUUUUUAAAUCCUCCUUAUCCUCUCCUCUCACCAACCUGAGAUUCGCUAAAAAUAUCUGCCCUUUAUCAGCUGAUGUUCAUCCGGGAUCAUCACUGGAACAGGAACCAAGCAUAUAAAUACUUUAGUUCUAAAACACAGAUUUCAAACCUCUCCUCAGGCAAGACCAAAGAGAAAGAUGAUACUGAGCUUCCAUAGACAUGUACCAUAUAUUCAAAAUAUAUCACUUGAACAAAAAGUCAAAAAUCCACGAACAACAACUGAUGUCAGAAUUCAACAGGGAAAUUCAGAUCCUCCGGAUAUCCAAUGACAGUCAAAAGAAGAUUGGAAAAAAUAUCCAUGCAGCUGAAGCUUUAACACCUCAAGCAAGUUACACUGGCAGAUAA
rnacentral:lncRNA from 1 species